rnacentral:rRNA from 1 species
CACGAACGCUGGCGGCAGGCUUAACACAUGCAAGUCGAGCGCCCCGCAAGGGGAGCGGCAGACGGGUGAGUAACGCGUGGGAAUCUACCCAUCUCUACGGAAUAACGCAUGGAAACGUGUGCUAAUACCGUAUACGUCCUUCGGGAGAAAGAUUUAUCGGAGAUGGAUGAGCCCGCGUUGGAUUAGCUAGUUGGUGGGGUAAAGGCCUACCAAGGCGACGAUCCAUAGCUGGUCUGAGAGGAUGAUCAGCCACACUGGGACUGAGACACGGCCCAGACGCCUACGGGAGGCAGCAGUGGGGAAUAUUGGACAAUGGGCGCAAGCCUGGUCCAGCCAUGCCGCGUGAGUGAUGAAGGCCCUAGGGUUGUAAAGCUCUUUCACCGGUGAAGAUAAUGACGGUAACCGGAGAAGAAGCCCCGGCUAACUUCGUGCCAGCCGCCGCAGUAAUAC